rnacentral:rRNA from 1 species
ACGUAGGGUCCGAGCGUUGUCCGGAGUUACUGGGCGUAAAGCGCGCGCAGGCGGCUGGUCAAGCCCGGCGUGAAAGCCCCCGGCUCAACCGGGGAACGUCGUCGGGGACUGGGCAGCUUGAGGACGGCAGGGGUCGGUGGAAUUCACGGUGUAGCAGUGAAAUGCGUAGAUAUCGUGAGGAAGACCAGUGGCGAAGGCGGAUCUCUGGACAGUUCCUGACGCUGAGGCACGAAGGCCAGGGGAGCAAACGGGA